ACCGAGUGACCAACAAGAGAAAACACUUUGAAUGACGCCAGCGCAAGUUACGGUGCGCCCCGGACGCGUGCACCGCGAAGAAUGUCUGCGGCUGACGCGAUACAUACGGAUCGGUAUCAUUUGAUUAAAGUUAUUUCUGACAUAUGAUCUUGGAUUUCUAGAUGUGACCUCGAAGAUUUUUAUUUUUUAUGACAUUUUUAUUACAGAAUAUUUCAGAAAGAUUGGGCAGAGCUGUGGAUAUAAAUUUUAUGUGUCUCUUCAGAGCACGCGGUAUUUAUACUGUCACGGAAUAUCGAUAUGAUACUCUAAAUUACACGAAGAAAGGCAAAGAUGGCAGAAAGGAAAUCGAUAAAAUUC
rnacentral:misc_RNA from 1 species